AUUGAACGCUGGCGGCAGGCCUACCACAUGCAAGUCGAACGAUUGGCGGACGGGUGAGUAAUGUCUGGGAAACUGCCCGAUUGAGGGGGAUAACUACUGGAAACGGUAGCUAAUACCGCAUACUAUCGUAUGUGCCCAGAUGGGGUUAGCUAGUAGUUUGGGUAACGGCUCACCUAGGCGACGAACCCUAGCUGGUCUGAGAGGAUGACCAGCCACACUGGAACUGAGACACGGUCCAGACUCCUACGGGAGUCAACAGUGGGGAAUAUUGCACAAUGGGCGCAAGCCUGAUGCAGCCAUGCCGCGUGUAUGAAGAAGGCCUUCGGGUUGUAAAGUACUUUCAGCGAGGAGGCGUUACUCGCAGAAGAAGCACCGGCUAACUCCGAGCCAGCCGCCGCGGUAAUAC
rnacentral:rRNA from 1 species